rnacentral:rRNA from 1 species
AAUUUUGGACAAUGUGGGAAACCCUGAUCCAGCCAUCCCGCGUGUAUGAUGAAGGCCUUCGGGUUGUACAGUACUUUUGGCAGAGAACAAAAGGUAUCCCCUAAUACGGGAUACUGCUGACCGUAUCUUCAGCAUAAGCACCGCCUAACUACGUUCCAUCAGCCGCGGUAAUAUGUAGGGUGCAAGCGUUAAGCGGAAUUACUGAGCGUAAAGCGUGUGUAGGCGGUUCGGAAAGAAAGAUGUGAAAUCCCAGGGCUAAACCUUGGAACUGCAUUUUUAACUGCCGAGCUAGAGUAUGUCAGAGGGGGGUAGAAUUCCACGUGUAGCAGUGAAAUGCGUAGAUAUGUGGAGGAAUACCGAUGGCGAAGGCAGCCCCCUGGGAUAAUACUGACGCUCAGACACGAAAGCGUGGGGAGCAAACAGG